rnacentral:ncRNA from 2 species
CAGUCGGUAGAGCAUGGGAC